rnacentral:rRNA from 1 species
UGCGUAGGCGGCGCGGUAAGUCGGGUGUGAAAUCUCGGGGCUUAACUCCGAAACUGCAUUCGAUACUGCCGUGAUUGAGGACUGGAGAGGAGACUGGAAUUUACGGUGUAGCGGUGAAAUGCGUAGAUAUCGUAAGGAAGACCAGUGGCGAAGGCGGGUCUCUGGACAGUUCCUGACGCUGAGGCACGAAGGCCAGGGGGAGCAAACG